GGUGGCUCAGUGGUAGAGUGCUUGCCUUGCAUGCAUGAGGCCCUAGGUUCAAUUCCUUGGCACUA
rnacentral:tRNA from 1 species